rnacentral:misc_RNA from 1 species
UCUCCGUAGGUGAACCUGCGGAGGGAUCAUUACCGAGUGAGGGCUCCGGCCCGACCUCCAACCCCAUGUGAACCGAAACCUGUUGCUUCGGGGGCGACCCGGCCCUCUGGGCGUCGGGGCCCCCGGUGGCUCAUCAAACACUGCAUCUUUGCGUCGGAGUCUUAAUGAAUUUAAACAAAACUUUUAACAACGGAUCUCUUGGUUCUGGCAUCGAUGAAGAACGCAGC